rnacentral:rRNA from 1 species
GCAAGCNAGAUUACCCUCACUAAGGGACUAGUCCUGCAGGUUAAACGAAUUCGCCCUUGAGUUUGAUCCUGGCUCAGGGUGAACGCUGCGGCAUGUUUAAGGCAUGCAAGUUGAAUGCUACUUUAGUAGCAUGGCAAACGGGAGAGUAACACAUUGGUAAUCUACCUCUAUCUUAGGGAUAAUCCAGAGAAAUUUGGGAUAAUACCUAAUAGUCAUAAGUAAUAUAAAUUAUCUUAUGUAAAGUUCCGGCGGAUAGAGAGGAGCCUAUGGCCCAUCAGUUUGUUGGUAAGGUAAAAGCUUACCAAGGCGAUGACGGGUAUCGGGUGUGAGAGCAUGGCCCGACUCACUGGGACUGAGACACUGCCCAGACUCCUACGGGAGGCUGCAGUCAAGAAUCUUCCUCAAUGGACGAAAGUCUGAAGGAGCAAUGCCGCGUGGUAGAUGAAGCUUUUCGGAGUGUAAAUACCUUUUAUCAGGGAAGAAUCCGGGCGGACCUGAAAAUAAUCAUGU